GAACCACUGUGACAUAGUGGUUUGAGUGUUAGACUAUGACUUUGGAGACCAGGGUUCGAUUCCCAGCUCA
rnacentral:tRNA from 1 species